rnacentral:rRNA from 1 species
UGGGUAACCUGCCUCAAAGAGGGGAAUAGCCUCCCGAAAGGGAGAUUAAUACCGCAUAAUAUGUUUAAGUCGCAUGACUUUAACAUCAAAGGAUUUUCUUUUAAGAAAUUCCACUUUGAGAUGGACCCGCGGCGCAUUAGCUAGUUGGUGAGGUAACGGCUCACCAAGGCAACGAUGCGUAGCCGACCUGAGAGGGUGAUCGGCCACAUUGGAACUGAGACACGGUCCAGACUCCGUAGGAG